GAUGAACGCUGGCGGCGUGCUUAACACAUGCAAGUCGAACGGUGAACACGGAGCUUGCUCUGUGGGAUCAGUGGCGAACGGGUGAGUAACACGUGAGCAACCUGCCCCUGACUCUGGGAUAAGCGCUGGAAACGGCGUCUAAUACUGGAUACGAGUAGCGACCGCAUGGUCAGUUACUGGAAAGAUUUAUUGGUUGGGGAUGGGCUCGCGGCCUAUCAGCUUGUUGGUGAGGUAAUGGCUCACCAAGGCGUCGACGGGUAGCCGGCCUGAGAGGGUGACCGGCCACACUGGGACUGAGACACGGCCCAGACUCCUACGGGAGGCAGCAGUGGGGAAUAUUGCACAAUGGGCGCAAGCCUGAUGCAGCAACGCCGCGUGAGGGAUGACGGCCUUCGGGUUGUAAACCUCUUUUAGCAGGGAAGAAGCGAAAGUGACGGUACCUGCAGAAAAAGCGCCGGC
rnacentral:rRNA from 1 species